rnacentral:rRNA from 1 species
GAUGAACGCUGGCGGCGUGCCUAAUACAUGCAAGUCGAGCGAACAGACGAGGAGCUUGCUCCUCUGACGUUAGCGGCGGACGGGUGAGUAACACGUGGAUAACCUACCUAUAAGACUGGGAUAACUUCGGGAAACCGGAGCUAAUACCGGAUAAUAUAUUGAACCGCAUGGUUCAAUAGUGAAAGACGGUUUUGCUGUCACUUAUAGAUGGAUCCGCGCCGCAUUAGCUAGUUGGUAAGGUAACGGCUUACCAAGGCAACGAUGCGUAGCCGACCUGAGAGGAUGAUCGGCCACACUGGAACUGAGACACGGUCCAGACUCCUACGGGAGGCAGCAGUAGGGAAUCUUCCGCAGUGGGCGAAAGCCUGACGGAGCAACGCCGCGUGAGUGAUGAAGGUCUUCGGAUCGUAAAACUCUGUUAUUAGGGAAGAACAAAUGUGUAAGUAACUAUGCACGUCUUGACGGUACCUAAUCAGAAAGCCACGGCUAACUACGUG